UACGGAGGGUGCAAGCGUUAUCCGGAUUCACUGGGUUUAAAGGGUGCGUAGGCGGACUGGUAAGUCAGUGGUGAAAUCCCCGAGCUUAACUUGGGAACUGCCGUUGAUACUAUCAGUCUUGAAUACCGUGGAGGUGAGCGGAAUAUGUCAUGUAGCGGUGAAAUGCUUAGAUAUGACAUAGAACACCAAUUGCGAAGGCAGCUCGCUACACGAAUAUUGACUCUGAGGCACGAAAGCGUGGGGAUCAAACAGG
rnacentral:rRNA from 1 species